rnacentral:rRNA from 1 species
UACAGAGGUGGCAAGCGUUGUUCGGAAUUACUGGGCGUAAAGGGCGCGUAGGCGGCCUUCUAAGUCAGACGUGAAAUCCCCCGGCUUAACCUGGGAACUGCGUCUGAUACUGGAGGGCUUGAGUAUGGGAGAGGGAUGUAGAAUUCCAGGUGUAGCGGUGAAAUGCGUAGAUAUCAGGAGGAACACCAAUGGCGAAGGCAGCUCGCUGGGACGGUACUGACGCUGAGGCGCGAAAGCGUGGGGAGCAAACAGG